ensembl:lncRNA SPAG5-AS1 SPAG5 antisense RNA 1
GGAGCCCUCACCUCAGACACCGGCGGUAGGGCUGGAUGCGGGCCCGGCCCAGGACCGGUCUUCUGUCCUCACACCGGGGAGGACCACGCAGGAAGGAGCUGAGUCAGAGAGACCGUGUGUAAUUUGCUCAGCGUCACACAGAUAGUAAACGGCAGAGCCGCUCUUCCUCCCUGUCCCGCCAGCUCCUGCCUUCUGCUGUCUUGGAUCUCCUAUGCACGGGAAACCUGUUGAAGGUAGGACAGCCGAAAGAAUGGACUUAGAGGAAACCGAAGAAAUCCCAAGCCACACCAAACAGGACCUCAAGACUCUCCCAUUUUUCUAUCAUCAGGGGCAUGUUUGGUACCUCUGGCGAUUUGCGAAAUGACCUUCUGACCCCAGAACUCCGAGUCAAACCCUGUGCCACACCCUUCCCAGGGCCCAGUGGUACUGCAUCAUCUGUUGCAAUCAGCUGCCGAGGCUUCACCACUGGUAUUCCUAUGAAAAAGCAAGUG